rnacentral:rRNA from 1 species
UAUUUUAGUCUUAUUAGAGGAACCUGUUUAUUAAUUGAUAAUCCACGAUUAAUUUUACUUAUUUAAUUAAUUCAUAUAUCGCUGUCAUGAAUAUAUUAAAAAAUUUAUUUUCUUUAUUUAUUAUUAUAAUUUAUGUUAAGUCAAGAUGUGGUUUAUAAAUAAGAAUAUAAUGGGUUACAUUAAAUUUUAUUUUUGGAUUUUAAAUGAAAAUUAAAAUGAAAUUGGAUUUAAUAGUAAAUUUAUUUAUUUUGUUAAUAUGAAGAAAGAUCUAAAAUAUGUACAUAUUGCCCGUCAUUCUUAUUAAAAAUAAGACAAGUCGUAACAAAGUAAAUGUACUGGAAAGUGUAUUUAGAAAGA